GUUACAUUUUACAUCCAUUAAUACUUGUAUUUUUGUAAUUAAUUAACGCCUAAAUAUACUCAAUACUCUCAUAUUUUGAUUUAGGUUAUGAAUGGAUGGAAAAUAUGGAGUUUGGACGAAAAGCACGAAAAGGAUCAAAAUGUAAGAAAAUGAAAGCUCAAGGACCAAGUUGAAAAUAAUCCAUGGAUGAGACGGGUGAUGGAAUGAAGAUUCAAGAGCGUUGGAGGUCAAUUGGAUGAAGAAAGAAGUCGAAGAGGUGAAAUAAAGUCGAAAUAUUAUCACGUAUCAACUUUCAGGCGAAAAAUUUAUGCUCAAGAUUUUUAGUCUCUACUUGAGACCCAUUUUUGGUAUGGUAAAUGUCCAAAUUUGGAAAAGCUUACUCUAUCAAAAUUGUAGAUCUUUGAGUUAGAUUCCUAAUGCACUUUGAAUCACCUCAAUCGGAUAUCGAGAGAGAAAAAUAUGAUCAAAAUACUGAAAGUUGUCAGACGAAAAAACGAUUGUUUUAUGCAUCACAUAGUUCAAAAUCAAUGCGGUCGCAUAGUGAUCUCCAGGGAACUUCAGAGCUAAAAAUCAUUGUUCUAUUCGACUGUAACCCUUAUAACUAUGUGGUCGCAUAGUUAUAUUUCGACACGUGAUUUUUAGUUUCCUAAUUUCAUUCAACUACUCAUGGAAACAAAUCUUGUACAUAAUAUAUAUACCCGAAAUCUCGUCCAAAACCUAGGGAACGCCCCCAACCUAACUUUUUCUCUUUUUCCUCUAGAUUUAUGAUGUGUAACUAAUUCUCUUUGCUUGAUCGAAAGAGACGGAAGCUUUG
rnacentral:lncRNA from 1 species